UACGUAGGUGGCAAGCGUUGUCCGGAUUUACUGGGCGUAAAGGGCGCGUAGGCGGCCAGACCAAGUCGAGUGUGAAAUUGCAGAGCUUAACUCUGUACGGUCACUUGAUACUGGUCGGCUAGAGUGUGGAAGAGGGUGCUGGAAUUCCCGGUGUAGCGGUGAGAUGCGUAGAUAUCCGGAGGAACACCAGUGGCGAAGGCGGCUCUCUGGGUCGGACCUGACGCUGAGGCGCGAAAGCGUGGGGAGCGAACGGG
rnacentral:rRNA from 1 species